GGAAGAUGAGACAUGAAACUGCUAAAAUUUGUUUGUCUCGUCCAACGGAGAAUAUUCACUUCGGCGUCGACGAUGUCUGGACUAGUUUGGAGUCGUGGGUACGUGGACCUCUGCUAAUUACAAGGCUUAGUUAUUAUAACUCACCUUACCACGAUCUGUUUCAUCAAAAGAAGGAAAAAAAACGUACCACUAUCCUACUGGAAAGGAUAAGUUAAACCAAAUGAAGACAAUAACGAUAGAGGAUAAUAGAGAAAGAUGGGAAACUCGCUUUCAUUAUAAAAUUAUUGGUAGUCACGGAUGAAGGGUUUGAUUUUUAUUCAGGUAAGUCAAAGCUCAAUGUAAUUUUAUUAUCGUUCAAUUAUAUUAAUUUGGCGUAAGUUAAUCCCAAAAUUUAACAGCAAUUUUUGAUUUAUUUUACAAUCAUGCCUCAUAUUUCUUGUUCACAUGAGGUAUAUGUUCUUAAAGGCAGUGAUUGCAAGGGAAAAGCUUGGGGAUAUAAUCUUAAAGGUUGGGUAUGUUCCAGUUACUUGCACAAUCUCUUACGUUUACGCAAAGCCUGGAUGACUAAUGUACCAGAACUGAUGUUUGAAAAUAUUAGAGCAAAAAAAGUUCAUUGAUCAGGAUUGGAAGCGUAUGCAAGACACUGAAGUGCCCAUUAAUGGCAGCUUAUAGAAUGUCGUUGUAUUCCCUGUCAAUUGUCUUUUUUUACUUUUUAUUUCUCUUCUCUUUACGGUGUAUGUAGACAGUACAGAUAGAAUAGGUAUUUCAGAUUUUUGUUAAGUAGACUUUUUCUUUCAUUCUCUUUCUCACCUUGGUGACAUCUUGGAACUCAUGUAUAAACAAUCGCUUAAGUUAAUAUG